rnacentral:rRNA from 1 species
UACUAUUAUUUACAAUGAACCCUUUAUUUUUACUGAAUAUUUCUAUAAAGUUAUAGAACCUUUUAUGUUGAAACUAGUAACAAGAAGUUAAACUUCUCCUCAAUAUAAGUAUAAGUCGACUAGGAUAAACCAUCGACAAUUAACGCUUAAAUUAAAUGUAUUAACUCCACAAGAAAAACUUACAUUACCCCACGUUAAUCUUACACCAGAACAUUUAAGGAAAGAUUUAAAAAAAAGGAAGGAACUCGGCAAACAUUAACCCCGCCUGUUUACCAAAAACAUCGCCUUCUGAUAUAUUAUAGAAGGUCCAGCCUGCCCAGUGAAUUAAUUUAACGGCCGCGGUAUCCUAACCGUGCGAAGGUAGCGUAAUCACUUGUUCUUUAAAUGAGGACUAGUAUGAAUGGCACCACGAAGGUUAUACUGUCUCCCUUUUUUGAUCAGUUAAACUAAUCUUCACGUGAAGAAGCGUGAAUAAACAUAUAAGACGAGAAGACCCUAUGGAGCUUAAAAUUACACAACAAUUGUUAAAAAAAUCCUAAAUUUUAUAAAUAAUUUUUUACUAAACACCAUGAUUGCUAAUUUUUGGUUGGGGUGACCGCGGAGUAAAAAUUAACCUCCACAAUGAAAGAAAUCAAUAUUCUAAACUAAGAGCUACAACUCAAAGUAUUAAUAUUUUAACAUUCUUUGAUCCAAUAUUUGAUCAACGAACAAAGUUACCCUAGGGAUAACAGCGCAAUCUACUUUGAGAGCUCCUAUCGACAAGUAGGUUUACGACCUCGAUGUUGGAUCAGGGUAUCCUAGUGGUGCAGCCGCUACUAA